GCGACCCCAGUCAGCGGGAUUACCCGCUGAAUUUAACAUAUCAUA
rnacentral:rRNA from 1 species